UGUCAUAUUGAAUUGCAAAUUCAAAGAAGCAGCUUGACGCUGCCGGGGCUUC
rnacentral:tRNA from 1 species